AUACCCGGGUAGUCCCAGCCCUAAACGAUGCGCGUUAGGUGUAUCGGUGACCACGAGUCACCGAGGUGCCGAAGGGAAACCGUGAAACGUGCCGCCUGGGAAGUACGGUCGCAAGGCUAGAAACUUAAAGGAAUUGGCGGGGGAGCACCACAACGGGUGGAGCCUGCGGUUUAAUUGGACUCAACGCCGGGAAGCUCACCGGAUAAGACAGCGGAAUGAUUGUCGGGCUGAAGACCCUGCAUGACCAGCUG
rnacentral:rRNA from 1 species